rnacentral:rRNA from 1 species
UACGUAGGGUCCGAGCGUUGUCCGGAAUUACUGGGCGUAAAGCGCGUGUAGGCGGCUGAGCAAGUCGGAUGUGAAAGCCCUGGGCUUAACCUAGGAAGUGCAUUCGAAACUGCUUGGCUUGAGUUCUGGAGAGGAAGGCGGAAUUCUCGGUGUAGAGGUGAAAUUCGUAGAUAUCGAGAGGAACACCGGUGGCGAAGGCGGCCUUCUGGACAGUGACUGACGCUGAGACGCGAAAGCGUGGGGAGCAAACAGG